GAGUUUGAUCAUGGCUCAGGAUGAACGUUAGCGGCGUGCCUAACACAUGCAAGUCGAACGAACAGCCAGAAUCUUAGGAAUCUGGCGGGUUAGUGGCGCACGGGUGAGUAACACGUAGGUGACCUGCCCCGAAGUGGGGGGACAACCACUGGAAACAGUGGCUAAUACCGCAUGUGCUUAGCCAUUCGGUUGGUUAAGUAAAGCUGAGGCGCUUCGGGAGGGGCCGUGCGGUCGAUUAGCUAGUUGGUGAGGUAAUGGCUCACCAAGGCGAUGAUCGAUAGGGGGCGUGAGAGCGUGACCCCCACCAC
rnacentral:rRNA from 1 species